UUCUACAGAGGUGGGUGCGUCUACAUUAGGAGCAUGACCUAGAGGACAGCUGUAAAUUAUAUUAACGAAGUCAUGAAGAUCUACGACAGCAGUCACAAAAUUGGCAGACCCUCAAUUGCCAACACAUUGAAAGAAAACCUCAAGUGAAUAUUAUUGGAUGUGACCAGUUGACUGGUAAGAUAUUAUUUUGUCACUAACUCUGC